GCCAAUGAUGCAGCCACGACUCAAUCACAGCAGCUGGAAUAUGAGUUCAAGAGCAGGAAAAGGGAAUCUGGCUUUUUCAGUUGCCAGUGCCAGAAACCGAACUCCAAUGAACUCAAGGAAAAUGGAGUAUGGGACAAGGAGUGCUCAGGGAACAUGACCUCUGGCAGUUCAGGACUCAAACAUUGAUGGCCCCAGUCCUGGAGAGGAAAAGGGAUCUCUCUAUUCAGGGAUAGAAGCAGCUGUAACCAGAUGAGCUUAACCUGAGCUCAACACAGAUAAAUUUGUGACUGCAAAGAAG